GACGAACGCUGGCGGCGUGCUUAACACAUGCAAGUCGAACGGAAAGGCCCUGCUUUUGUGGGGUGCUCGAGUGGCGAACGGGUGAGUAACACGUGAGUAACCUGCCCUUGACUUUGGGAUAACUUCAGGAAACUGGGGCUAAUACCGGAUAGGAGCUCCUGCUGCAUGGUGGGGGUUGGAAAGUUUCGGCGGUUGGGGAUGGACUCGCGGCUUAUCAGCUUGUUGGUGGGGUAGUGGCUUACCAAGGCUUUGACGGGUAGCCGGCCUGAGAGGGCGACCGGCCACAUUGGGACUGAGAUACGGCCCAGACUCCUACGGGAGGCAGCAGUGGGGAAUAUUGCACAAUGGGCGGAAGCCUGAUGCAGCCACGCCGCGUGCGGGAUGACGGCCUUCGGGUUGUAAACCGCUUUCGCCUGUGACGAAGCGUGAGUGACGGUAAUGGGUAAAGAAGCACCGGCUAACUACGUG
rnacentral:rRNA from 1 species